CACGUAGGGGCGAGCGUUGUCCGGAAUUACUGGGCGUAAAGGGUGCGUAGGCGGUCUUUCAAGCCAGAAGUGAAAGGCUACGGCUCAACCGUAGUAAGCUUUUGGAACUGUAAGACUUGAGUGCAGGAGAGGAGAGUGGAAUUCCUAGUGUAGCGGUGAAAUGCGUAGAUAUUAGGAGGAACACCAGUUGCGAAGGCGGCUCUCUGGACUGUAACUGACACUGAGGCACGAAAGCGUGGGGAGCAAACAGGAUUAGAUACCCGCGUAGUCCCU
rnacentral:rRNA from 1 species